CCACAGCAUGCUUAUGACCUCAGUAGUGCUAUGCUGGAUAGCACUAUGGAUGAAAGGGACUUGUGGGUCAUUAUUGACCACAAGAUGAACAUGAGCCUUCAAUGUGAUGCUACGGCUAGUAAAGUGGGCAAAACGCUGGCUUUCAUCCAUAGAUGCUUCUCAAGCAAACCCCAGGACAUCAUUCUCCCCUUGUAC